GGGAAGAAGAAAAGGGGUGAAAGAAAAGGGAACUUUGUGGUAUUCCGGAAAGUAUGCCUGUUUGAGGGUCAGUUAAAUUAAAAUCGGUGUUGUUGCUACCCGUAGUGGUGUGUGAUGCAUCGGAAUUGAGUCGUUCUUUACCUUUGGUUUAAGUGACUUAAAAUUAUGUUCGAUUUUUGAACGUAUUUAAAUUAUUACUUACGUUCGUAAUACCACAUAUUAGGUGCGGUCAUUCACAUGAUUUCGAGUCUAUAAUUUUUCAUUAUUUGACCUCAAAUCAGGUAAGAAUACCCGCUGAA
rnacentral:misc_RNA from 1 species